UACGUAGGGGGCAAGCGUUGUCCGGAUUUAUUGGGCGUAAAGAGCGUGUAGGCGGCCAUGCAGGUCCGUUGUGAAAACUCGAGGCUCAACCUCGAGAGGUCGGUGGAAACCGUGUGGCUAGAGUCCGGAAGAGGAGAGUGGAAUUCCCGGUGUAGCGGUGAAAUGCGCAGAUAUCGGGAAGAACACCCGUGGCGAAGGCGGCUCUCUGGGACGGUACUGACGCUGAGACGCGAAAGCGUGGGGAGCGAACAGG
rnacentral:rRNA from 1 species